GCGGCUGCACCACUAGGAUACCCUGAUCCAACAUCGAGGUCGUAAACCCACUUGUCGAUAGGAGCUCUUGAAGUGGAUUGCGCUGUUAUCCCUAGGGUAACUUGGUUCGUUGCUCAAGUUAUUGGGUCAAUUUGUGUCAAUGUUUUGGUGCUUAGAGCUGUGGCUCUUGGCUCAGGAAAAAGUUUUCACCAUGGAGGUUAAUUUUUGUUCCGCGGUCACCCCAACCUAAAACUAAUAGUCAGAGGGCGAUAAUAAAAGUUAUUGAUUAAAAUAUUAAGGUAUGGCCGAUGCUAUUUGGUUUGAAGCUCCAUAGGGUCUUCUCGUCUUAUAUGUAUCCCCGCUUCUUCACGGGAAAAUCAGUUUCAUUGAUUGGGAAAAGGAGACAGUAUAACCCUCGUGGUGCCGUUCAUACUAGUCCUUAUUUAAAGAACAAGUGAUUACGCUACCUUCGCACGGUUAGGAUACCGCGGCCGUUGAACUUGGUCACUGGGCAGGCUGGACCUCUUAUAUUAGUGCAAGAGGCGAUGUUUUUGGUAAACAGGCGAGGUUAAUGUUUGCCGAGUUCCUUCUUUUUCUUUUAAUCUUUCUUGAAAUGAGCUAGUGUUAGGUUAACGUUUAAAUAAACAGGGUUUUCUGGUGAAGUUGCUGUUUUAUAAUCAUAGGCGUUAAUUAUCAGUGGUGUGUCCUUUCUGAUUUAUACUUUCAUUUAAGAGAAGACCUGCUUCUUAUUACUAGUUUUAACAUAAUAGCCUCUAUAUAAUUAUAGGGCUGCUUAAUAUAGAUAGGGGG
rnacentral:rRNA from 1 species